rnacentral:rRNA from 1 species
AUUGAACGCUGGCGGCAGGCCUAACACAUGCAAGUCGAGCGGAUGAAGGGAGCUUGCUCCUGGAUUCAGCGGCGGACGGGUGAGUAAUGCCUAGGAAUCUGCCUGGUAGUGGGGGAUAACGUCCGGAAACGGGCGCUAAUACCGCAUACGUCCUGAGGGAGAAAGUGGGGGAUCUUCGGACCUCACGCUAUCAGAUGAGCCUAGGUCGGAUUAGCUAGUUGGUGGGGUAAAGGCCUACCAAGGCGACGAUCCGUAACUGGUCUGAGAGGAUGAUCAGUCACACCGGAACCGAGACACGGUCCAGACUCCUACGGGAGGCAGCAGUGGGGAAUAUUGGACAAUGGGCGAAAGCCUGAUCCAGCCAUGCCGCGUGUGUGAAGAAGGUCUUCGGAUUGUAAAGCACUUUAAGUUGGGAGGAAGGGCAGUAAGUUAAUACCUUGCUGUUUUGACGUUACCAACAGAAUAAGCACCGGCUAACUUCGUG